CUGCCAGCUGCCGCCAUGACCAGCAGCAUGUGAAGACGCCGGAGGGAAAACAGUGGUGAACAGAAUAGCUGAGUACACAUCACUGAAGAGCAAGACGGCUGCUUCCAACCACUGCAAGAGAAAGCCGUGAGACCCACAUUCUUCAGAGCAUGCCACCGGAGAGUGAGUGUGCUCUACCUAUCUAGUCAUCCGAACUGGGCCAGGUGAACCUGCACCCAGAGGCCACCACUUGGUUUACACCCUGCCUCACUUCUCUGGGAGGAUUCCUCUUUUUAGCAGGACUAAGAAGCCAAGAGAACAGCUGGGACAGGACGUUAGCACAAUGAUCCUGAUGGGAACCAACUCUUGAAAGCCCUGAGGAGGAGGAGGAGCUAGUGUCUCCCAGUGCAGAGAGUGACUGACACUCGUGGAUGGGCUCCAUGAAGUGACGUGGGGUCUCCGACACCUGGGCUACUUACGGUAGUCGCCAUGACAUCGGUGGGAGAAUCCCCACUGCAGAUUCCUGCCGCCCAAGGAACUCCUGUGCUCACAGGCCUGCUGCGUCCUCACUUACCCCAACCCAGGCACUUCUCUAUGACUUUCUUUGUGUCCCAGCUGAAUUCUUCCUUCUCUUUUACGGUUAUAAAAAUGAAAAAAAAAAAUGGCAACAUCUUUCUCUUCACUGUCAACAUUUCUCAGUGUUUUACCAACGGCUUCAUAGCAGCUCACCCUAUUCAUUUAAUGAAGUGUGUUUCUCACAAUAAAACAGAAUUGUGAAUGAUCACGUAUCUAUGCCAUUUAAAAUAUGAACCACAUGUUUUAUGUGUAAAAUACAGUUCCUAUUCUAAUUAAUUAAUUAAUAAGAAUUCUGUAAUUUUCAUAUUGUAACUUUUUAUAAUCUCCAAAACUCUCCAAAUGACUGUUAGUCAAAUGACCAUCACAGCUUUUGUUAAUAUAUGAGAAAAUAAUAAACCUCAUUAACGUC